ACUGCUUGGCCUCGCUCAAGGGCACCACCUCCCCGCACCGUGUUUGGGUCUGCAAACGUCCGUGUUGUGCCGGCCCCACUUCCCCUGGCUGUGUUGGGCCCGCACCGUGGCUGUCCACGCAUGGGUCACUCUUCAGUACAUUGUUGUGGCCAAGCUGUCAGAGCCCAGUAGCAACGAGUCGACCCCACGAGUGGGUGGUUGGUGGGCAGAAGGCUGCCAGUGGCUGAGUCCCUUGGCACACCUGCCUCCCAGUGUGUUCCCCAAGCCCCCACCUGGGAGCAAGUGGCAUGUGCCUGAGCUCCCUCCACCGCCCAGGCCUUCCCUCCCGUGCCUGAGAGCAGUGGUUGGAGAGUCGUUCUGAGCUGGUCGCGCUUCGCCUGAGCAGCUUUCCCGACAGCCUCUCACCUGGGUGGCUGGGCAAUGGGGCUGUCGCCUGGUUGGGCCCGGAAAUGGGACGUCGCGCUUUCUCAGGGAGCGUAGAAGCAGCCAGGGCCUCUCCAAGCCGCUGCUGUGACAGAAAGUGAGUGAGCUGCCGGAGGAUGUCCACCGCCACGACAGUCGCCCCCGCGGGGAUCCCGGCGACCCCGGGCCCUGUGAAC
rnacentral:lncRNA from 1 species